AUUGAACGCUGGCGGCAGGCCUAACACAUGCAAGUCGAACGAGUGGCGGACGGGUGAGUAAUGUCUGGGAAACUGCCCGAUGGAGGGGGAUAACUACUGGAAACGGUAGCUAAUACCGCAUACCAUCGGAUGUGCCCAGAUGGGAUUAGCUAGUAGGUGGGGUAACGGCUCACCAAGGCGACGAUCCCUAGCUGGUCUGAGAGGAUGACCAGCCACACUGGAACUGAGACACGGCCCAGACUCCUACGGGAGGCAGCAGUGGGGAAUUUUGCACAAUGGGCGCAAGCCUGAUGCAGCCAUGCCGCGUGUAUGAAGAAGGCCUUCGGGUUGUAAAGUACUUUCAGCGGGGAGGCGUUACCCGCAGAAGAAGCACCGGCUAACUCCGUGCCAGCCGCCGCGGUAAUAC
rnacentral:rRNA from 1 species